UUAAGACAAUUUAACUAGAUUUUUGAUUAAGAGAUCCGAACCUAGUUAAAGUCGACUAUAACAAAAACAUCCGUAUGAAUGUCUGGCUCUUGAGGAUUAACAUCCGCAAUAAAAUAAACAUUCUUGAUCUUCCAAGUCCAAACUGGAAUGCGGUUAACACACAUUCCCCCUAUUCUUCGAUUAGCCGUGACUUUAAAUUUUCUGGAGGUGGUGGCUACUAAAGGUAAGUUGGCACUGACUGGUCAGCUCCAAUGGGCCAAAGUAGUGUUUGUUAGGUUAUUUCUUUGACCUUAAAACAAAUGGAGAGGAAAUUGUGCCCACUUACAAUCAAAUUUAAUGAAUCGGCUUCAGAAGCAACAAAAAUGUUCUUCUACGAAAAAUAUCAAAUUCCUGGAGUAAUCGGCUGCAUUGAUGGGAGUCAUAUUAUGAUUCUCCGCCCUUCGGAAAAUGAGCAUAUGUAUUUCAAUAGAAAAGGAAGACAUAGUGUAAACAACAUGAUCGUAAUUCAUCUGCAACAAGAACAGAAAAAUUUUGGCAAUAAAUGCAAAAUAUGGCGGGAGUGCUCACGACAGCUUUGUAUGGAGAAAGAGUGCUCAACGAGAAAGGUUUAAUGCUGACUAUUGUGCAGGCAGAACUUCAUCGUGGCUACUUGGGGACAGCGGUUACCCUUUAGAGCCAUUUCUAUUAACACCAUACAGAAGCGCAGCAGAAAAUUCUCCAUAAGCACGGUUCAAUUAUGUGCACUCCCAGGCUAGAAGUAUAGUUGAAAGAUGCAUUGGCGUGAUGAAAAAAUGGUGUCUCUCUUUAAUUAGUCUAUUGACUUUUUUGUUAUUACUUGCAGCUUGAUGGAGAAGUAUCUUAGAGGAAAGAAAGUUGAGAUACUCUCCAAAAAAAUCUGCCCAAAUUGUAAAUGUGUGUGCAGCUCUGCAUAACAUAUGCUGUGACCAAAGAGUUCCACUACCAGAAGAAAUGGUCAGAGUUCCACCAUCUGAAAAUUGAAAUAUGUAUUCAAUUUGUAGAAAAUACAAGCAAAGAAGGCGUUAGAAUCAGAAACAGAAUAAGAGAUGACCUAUGAUCAAACCGUCCAAGUAUUGAAUAAAAAACAAAAUUAAAUUAACAUCAUUUUUUUUAACUAAUAAAAUGAACUUAAACUAAA